rnacentral:rRNA from 1 species
UACAGAGGGUGCAAGCGUUAAUCGGAAUUACUGGGCGUAAAGGGUGCGUAGGUGGUUUGUUAAGUCAGGCGUGAAAUCCUCGGGCUCAACCUGGGAACUGCGCUUGAUACUGGCAGACUCGAGUGUGGUAGAGGAUAGUGGAAUUCCCGGUGUAGCGGUGAAAUGCGUAGAUAUCGGGAGGAACAUCAGUGGCGAAGGCGGCUAUCUGGACUAACACUGACACUGGGGCACGAAAGCGUGGGUAGCAAACAGGAUUAGAAACCCCGGUA